AUUGUCCUUUGCAAGCAUCCUGCUGUAGCUGGGAACAUUGGUUAAUUCUGAUGUUCUUAACAAUGACAGUUGGAUUUGUUGGGACAUAGAUUAAUGCCCCACCCACAUUGACUUGGGAGGAGUGGACCUCUUUCUUAAUGUCCAGUGCUUUUACCUGUUGAUGUGGUGGCACACUC